GGGGAUAAUACCCCAUAGGCUAUGAAUGCUGGAAUGCUUCGUAGUUGAAAGGUGAGCCGCCAUAGGAUGGGUCUGCGGCCGAUUAGGUAGUUGUUGGGGUAACGGCCCAACAAGCCUGUAAUCGGUACGGGUUGUGGGAGCAAGAGCCCGGAGAUGGAUUCUGAGACACGAAUCCAGGCCCUACGGGGCGCAGCAGGCGCGAAAACUUUACAAUGCGGGAAACCGUGAUAAGGGAACUCUGAGUGCCCGUUAAAUCGGGCUGUCCAUCAGUUUAAAAAACUGGUGAAGAAAGGGCCGGGCAAGACCGGUGCCAGCCGCCGCGGUAAUACCGGCGGCUCGAGUGGUGGCCACUAUUACUGGGCUUAAAGCGUUCGUAGCUGGUUUGUUAAGUCUCUGGGGAAAUCUUCCGGCUUAACCGGAAGGCGUCUCAGGGAUACUGGCAGACUAGGGACCGGAAGAGGUGAGGGGUACUCCAGGGGUAGGAGUGAAAUCCUGUAAUCCUUGGGGGACCACCUGUGGCGAAGGCGCCUCACCAGGACGGCUCCGACAGUGAGGGACGAAAGCUGGGGGAGCAAACCGGAUUAGAUACCCGGGUAGUCCCAGCCGUAAACGAUGUGCGUUAGGUGUAUCGGUGACCACGAGUCACCGAGGUGCCGAAGAGAAACCGUGAAACGUACCGCCUGGGAAGUACGGUCGCAAGGCUGAAACUUAAAGGAAUUGGCGGG
rnacentral:rRNA from 1 species